CCCGCCCACUCUCCGGGUUCCCACUCCCCCGCCGCUCAUGUGACACCGGCUUAAGCCGAACGGGACCGAAGCCGGGGGACGCCUCCCCGAGCUGUGGGACCGAGCGGCAGCGCGCCCCGGAGCCCCAGUCGCCGCCUGGGACUGGACACGCUCCCCGCCCGCGGGAAGGCGGCGAACUCCGGCGCGCCGGCCUUACUGCUCCCCCGACGCGCUCCAAACCCCAGGCGGCCCGCGGCUGGAGAAGGGACGCGAGGAAACCCGGAAAGCGUUUCAUUUCUCCUUCCCGGGGUCCGGAGAGGGAAGAGGCCCCGCAGGAUGGACUGAAGGUGUGGAAUUGACCGGUCUUUCCAUCCAGGACUCACUGGUGGCCAUCACACUGUGAUACUAGUUCCAUAUAACGCCAUCUCCCACAGAGAAAACAGAAUUACUAAACAUGCUGAUUUUUUACAGAUACUAAGGUGCGAUGACAAAGGAACCGAGAUCGAGGGCAUAAUUCUUGCCAUUCUUGCCAUUCACUGCCAUGGCCAGUGGCCAUGAACUGAGGCUCAAGAAGUUUGCUCAAGUCAUGGCAGGGCAGACAACAUUGAUGUCCCUUCAGGCACCAGUCAGGCCUUUCCCUGGAUGGGAGAUCUCCUGACUCAGCAGCAACAGGCUCUGAGACUAGCCGAAUCCACCACCAGCACUGCAGACAACUGUUUCUGCCCCAAUCUAGUCGGUAAUGAGUCACCCAGAAAGCCAUAAGUGCUUUGCUAUUGAAAGAACCUAGGUCUGGAGUAGAUGACCCAAUUUCCUUGGAAAGAAGAAAUCAUGUCUAUGAGUUCUGGGAGUACUUAUUAGGCACCUACUCUGUGCCAGGCAGAAUUCUAGGAGACCCACAGAAGAGCCCUAUUCCUCCCAAACCUUCUGGACUAGCUGCGGCCAAACAAUGGGCUUCCGCCUCUAGAAUUCAUCAUCCAAGAAUCCAUCAGAUACUUACUGACAGGCUGAGAGAAUAGAAACAAAUUGGACUGCCACGUGAGGUGACAUAAACAAUGUAGAGUACCAGCCCAGUGCCUGACAUGCACCAGGCCACCUAGAUGCUCAGCAGUUUCUUUUUCUUACCCCACUAUGUGUCAUUCAUUGGCCAUGCAAGUCCCCAUGAGGAAACACAAAAAAAGCAGCAUCUGCAAGAUUCUGGAAAGUAAAAGCUCUGUGGACCUCCCAGCCCAGAGUUCUGGGGAUUUCCUUCAGCGUGUCCCAAAUCUCUAACCUUACACCCUAAUGGCCACGGGUUCCUUAUUGGCUCUUCCUAAGAGAACUAAGGACAGUAGUAUUUGCAGAAGGCUAAAAGGAGGGAGGGAACUCACCAUGGUUUCUUGGGUUCCUGGCUCCAUAGGUCAGAGAUCUCAGUUGCAUUGCCGGUCCCAACAGCAGUCUAAUUUAUGCACGCCUUUGUCACUGAGUUCCCAUAGACACCAUUUAUGGUUGUCUCUCUAAUAUAUAUCAUAUAUUAUAGCGUUCUCUAUUGUGCUUCUUUGUCCCCAUGUUAUUUCCUAUUGUCACACUGUGGUUUCAUCCCUCUUCCUUCCCCCACACAGGGCCUAGAACACCAUAGGUGCUCCAGUUCAAUCUUUGCUGAAUGAAACAAUGCGUUAGGCAAAUUCCAUCUCGGUGCCUCAGUUUCCCUCAUCAACCUGUAGGAGGCCCUGGAAGUCCAGUCCUUUGCCAUAGCCUAUGUAAGCCUUUCCUAAAUCUUCUGACCACCCAAGGAGCCAGUGCUGGAGACACGGACGUGGCCAUCUAGCUCACAUGCCUCAGCCAGCAGCUCCCAGCCCUCACCAGGCCUACCUCUUCACCACCAGGGAAAGGUUGUUUGCCUCUAGGCCACCUCCUGCCCCUCCCACUACACGCGGCUCAGGGGAGGAGAGAACACAGUUUCCCUCUAGCAGAAUCUCUAGUAAAGGACAGGCCUAGAGCACGCAGCAGUUUGUUUCCAUGCUCUGCCUCGUUCUCGGGUCUUAGGUGCCAAGUGAUGGAACAUCUGGCCUCUCUGGUGCCCUCUUUUUCAUCUUUUGGCAUAAAUCUUUACCCCAAAUUCCAGAGGAAAUCCAGGCAGGACCCUCAGAAGUCUUCACUUCCGAUUAUUACCCUGAGAUGGGUUCUGUGAGCAAGAGAUAGUCAUGCCUGCUAGCUGCCAAACCUGAGUCCUCCAAGGAGGGCCGCGAGCUCCCCCAGCUACCUCUAGUUCCCAGCAAAUCACAGCUGGGAAAUUCCUGUUGAGUAACACGCGCCCCUGCCCCGUUUUAGGAGCUGGCAGGCAGAAUCCAGGCCGGGGGAAUGCGUUGCAGGGAAGUCUGAUUAACCUCAGCUUCCCUCUCUUAGCAACUGGGUCCCACUGGUCUCCCACAGAAGCUGAGCCCCAGAGGCCUGCCCAGGGCGCUUCCUAGAAAUGAAGAAAAAUCUUCCAGAAAAAUCUUCUGGCAGCAAGGUAACCUCAGAAGAAGACUCGGGGCCAGGAGACCUGUGCCCCCCGGGGCUUUGGUUUAUUCACCUGCAAAGUAAGAGGGCUGGACUCACCAGAUGGUGGUUAAGCCCUGAGCCCUACCCUAAGAACAUCUUUCUCAGGCUCCUUCUCUAUAUUGCGAUGACAAGUGGGUUUGAGUCCUAUCUUGAAUAUAAACAAAUUCCUCUAGGGGCGCCUGGGUGGCUCAAUUGGUUAAGCGUCUGACUCUUGAUUUUGGCUCAGGUCAUGGUCUCACG